rnacentral:rRNA from 1 species
UAGCCGUAAACGAUACUCGCUAGGUGUCGACCACGGUGCGACCGUUGUCGGUGCCGUAGGGAAGCCGUGAAGCGAGCCACCUGGGAAGUACGGCCGCAAGGCUGAAACUUAAAGGAAUUGGCGGGGGAGCACCACAACGGGUGGAGCUUGCGGUUUAAUUGGAUUCAACGCCGGAAAUCUUACCGGGACCGACAGCAACAUGAAGGCCAGGCUGAAGACUUUGCCGGAUUAGCUGAGAGGUGGUGCAUGGCGUAGUCGUGU